GACUCUAACAGGACUGCCUGCGCGAGCAGAGAGGAAGGAGGGGACGGCGUCAAGUCAUCAUGGCCCUUACGUCCAGGGCUGCACACGUGCUACAAUGGAUGGUACAGAAGGUCGCUACUCAGCAAUGAGGUGCAAAUCUUUAAAACCAUUCUCAGUUCGGAUCGGAGUCUGCAACUCGACUCCGUGAAGUUGGAAUCGCUAGUAAUCGGUGGUCAGCUACACAGCGGUGAAU
rnacentral:rRNA from 1 species